GAGGAAUAUUGGGCAAUGCCCGAAAGGGUGACCCAGCAACGCCGCGUGGAGGAUGAAGGUCGUAAGAUUGUAAACUCCUGUUAGAGGAGAAGAAUAACUAAGUUUGGAGCUUAGUAUGACUGUACCCUCAGAGAAAGCCCCGGCUAACUACGUGCCAGCAGCCGCGGUAAUACGUAGGGGGCAAGCGUUGUCCGGAUUUACUGGGUGUAAAGGGCGCGCAGGCGGAUUUGUAAGUCAGAGGUGAAAUCUUACAGCUUAACUGUGAAACUGCCUUUGAUACUGCAAGCCUAGAGUAUGGAAGAGAGUGAUGGAAUAUCUGGUGUAGCAGUGAAAUGCGUAGAUAUCAGAUAGAACACCAAUGGCGAAGGCAGUCACUUGGUCCAUUACUGACGCUAAAGCACGAAAGCGUGGGUAGCAAACA
rnacentral:rRNA from 1 species